AGAAGUUCUGGACCUAUCAAAAAGCUACAUUUAGAAAGUGAAGGGAGCGGUACAAGAGGAGGAAGCAUGUUUUGAAGAGCUUCAAUUCCUGGAGCGAUUACAAGUCUUAUCCAUCAGAUAGAUACCGUGUUACCCUCUCCAAGAUACAAUUAUUUCCUGGAUAAAUAGAUUAAAAGUAUUCAAAAUUGACAUCGGAUGGGACUAUUCUCCUUCAGAAAGUUACGCAGAAAUUAUCGGGAAACAAUAUAUGAUAGGCUGUACUUUCGACAUGUGCCAUCUCUAUUUCCAAUCUGGGGUGCCCAAAGAUGCGUGAUUAUGGAUGGGAUUGAUCUCUCGGGAGGACAAAUCGGGUGGUGGUUGAGUAAUGCAAGUUAUCUAGACUUAAGAAGUUGUCGAGGACUGAAUGAGAUGCUACAAGACUUGGUCAUUAACAGUGUUGGCAGAAGCUUUACAUAUUUAAAAAAGCUUGAGAUUCGUGAG